rnacentral:lncRNA from 1 species
UUUUUUUUUUUUUUUUUUUUUUUUUUUUUUAGGGCCACACCCACAGCAUAUGGAGGCUCUCAGGCUAGGGGCUGAAUUGGUGUAGCCUAAACCGCUGGCCUACCCCACAGUCACAGCAACGCCAGACCCAAGCUGCAUCUGCGACGUACACCACAGCUCAUGGCCAUGCUGGAUCCUUAAUCCACUGAUUGAGGCCAGCGAUCGAACCUGCAUUCUCGCGGAUACUAGUCAGAUUUGUUUCUGCUGAGCCAUGACGGGAACUCUGAAGGGGCCAGUUUUAAUUUGACCUGCCAGAGCUGUGAAAAACACAUGAAGGUAGAAGCAAGCCAUCUUCACCUACAUCAACUGCUCCUGCAGUCUGCCUGUCCUCCUUCUAUUUGGCCUGUGGUUCCCACCAUGAAAGUCAUGCCUGAGAUAGUCAAUGUUGUUGUUUCUGUGAUGUUGUUUUGUUACAUGCAACCCAUUGCAAUCCUAAUGGGUAUGAAUAACGCAGACAGGAAGGCUGUUGCCGAAACUUGGCCUCUGUCCACCGGUGCUAAAUAGAAAUACGGAGACAGAGUUUGGGACGAAGGAGAAAAAAAUAGAUUUACUGCUUUGCCAGGCAAAGGAGGCCACAGCAGGCUGUAUUCUCCAUACUGUACAUUUCAUACCCAUGACUCAUUUAUUUUGUAACUGUAAGUUUGCACCUCCUAAUCUUCCUCACCUACUUCCCUCCCUCCCCAUCCCCCUACUCUCUGGCAACCACCUGUUCGUCCUCUGUAUAUAUGACUCUGUUUGUUUAGUUAUCAUUGCUCAUUUGUUUUGUUUUUUGUUUCAACAUGUGAGAUCAUACAGUAUUUGUUUUUGCUCUGACUUAUUUUCACUUAGCAUAAUGUCUUCAAGGUGCAUCCAUGUUGUUGAAAUGACAGGAUUUCAUUCUUUUUUAUGGCUGAAUAAUAUUCCAGCAUGUGUGUGUGUGUGUGUGUGUGUGUGUGUGUGUGUGUGUGUGAUCUUCUUUAUCCAUUCAUAUGUUGAUGGGCACUUGGGCUGCACCCAUAUCCUGACAAUUGUAAAUAAUGAAUCUCUUUUUUCCAUUCCCUUUCAGUCUUUAGACGUGAAGAAAAAAAUUUUUUUUUGUCUUUUGUUUUUUUAGGGCCACACUGCGGCAUAUGGAGAUUCCCAGGUGUGGCCCAAAAAAAAAAAAAAAAUCUAAACUUGAAACCCAAAUUUUAGUGACUAACCCCUAAGGGAGACUGGCAGUGAGGUAAUUCAGGGAUCAGCCCAGCACCCUCUUGCCAUCCUCCUGGUGACAACUGAUUCUGCCUCUGGGAGUGGCUCCUCAUCACAGUCUCCUGCUCCUGGCAGUGGGGGAGGGCCCUGGAAGAAACUCCUUCCCCUGACCACCGUGAUUGGCCCAGAGAUGGCACAUGACCCAGGUCAAGCCAGUCAGAGAUUUUUCUAAUUGGAGCUGGCAGGAAGUCAUCCCCAAGCCUGUGGUGGCCAUGAGGGGAUGCCGGGAAGCACUAAGGUGAAGUGGGGUCCCAACAGGGGCUGGCCGCCCAUGUCCAAUUGGUGGGAUUUCUGAGCUGUCCUAAUCCCUGGGGCUCUCCCUUCAAUUCUUUGACAAACUCGAUACCUUCUAAUAAAUUUCUCACUUAAACUGGUUUGAGCUGGGUUUUUGUCCUAUGCAAAUCAGAAGACUCUGACUGUAUUUUGAGGAGGUGGUACAAUUUUCAGUCAAAGGAUUGCCUGGAACCUUUCUUUUGGGGGGCUGUACCCACACCAUGCAGAAGUUCCUUAGGCCAGGGAUUGAACCCACACCACAGCAGCCACCAGAGCUAGCGUAGUGACAACAUCAGAUCCUCAACCUACUGAGCUACCAGGGAGCUCUGCUUGAAACCUUUCAAGUUCACUCCCAAGCCUGCCACUUCUCUCUUUUCUAGAAGGUGAGUUCCCCAUCACUAGAGGUUUUCAAGCAGAGAAGGGAUGUCCUUUGUCUGGGAUGAAUCAGAGGGAAUUACUGCUUUGGAGCUAAAGAGAUUUAACUGGGUGGCAUCAACUAUCC